rnacentral:rRNA from 1 species
CGGGGGGGGCAAGCGUUGUUCGGAAUUACUGGGCGUAAAGGGCUCGUAGGUGGCCAACUAAGUCGGACGUGAAAUCCCUCGGCUUAACCGGGGAACUGCGUCCGAUACUGGUUGGCUUGAGUUUGGGAGAGGGAUGCGGAAUUCCAGGUGUAGCGGUGAAAUGCGUAGAUAUCUGGAGGAACACCGGUGGCGAAGGCGGCAUCCUGGACCAAUACUGACGCUGAGGAGCGAAAGCCAGGGGAGCAAACGGGAUUAGAUACCCCGGUAGUCCUAGCCCUAAACGAUGAAUGCUUGGUGUGGCGGGUAUCGAUCCCUGCCGUGCCGAAGCUAACGCAUUAAGCAUUCCGCCUGGGGAGUACGGUCGCAAGGCUG